AGAGUUUGAUCCUGGCUCAGGAUGAACGCUAGCGACAGGCUUAACACAUGCAAGUCGAGGGGCAUCGGGGAGUAGCAAUACUCUGCCGGCGACCGGCGCACGGGUGAGUAACGCGUAUGUAACCUGCCUUAUACAGGGGGAUAGCCCAUGGAAACGUGGAUUAAUAUCCCAUAGUACUGAGAGACCGCAUGGUUUUUCAGUUAAAGCUUCGGUGGUAUAAGAUGGACAUGCGUCCUAUUAGGUAGUUGGU
rnacentral:rRNA from 1 species